rnacentral:rRNA from 1 species
UACGUAGGCAGCAAGCGUUGUUCGGAGUUACUGGGCGUAAAGGGUGCGUAGGCGGCUCUAUAAGUAUGGUGUGAAAUCUCCCGGCUUAACUGGGAGGGUGCGCUAUAGACUGUGGGGCUAGAGUGUGGGAGAGGAAGUGGAAUUCCUGGUGUAGCGGUGAAAUGCGUAGAUAUCAGGAGGAACACCGGUGGUGUAAACGGCUUUCUGGACCAUAACUGACGCUGAGGCACGAAAGCGUGGGUAGCAAACAGG